rnacentral:rRNA from 1 species
GACGAACGCUGGCGGCGUGCUUAACACAUGCAAGUCGAACGGAAAGGCCCUGCUUUUGUGGGGUGCUCGAGUGGCGAACGGGUGAGUAACACGUGAGUAACCUGCCCUUGACUUUGGGAUAACUUCAGGAAACUGGGGCUAAUACCGGAUAGGAGCUCCUGCUGCAUGGUGGGGGUUGGAAAGUUUCGGCGGUUGGGGAUGGACUCGCGGCUUAUCAGCUUGUUGGUGGGGUAGUGGCUUACCAAGGCUUUGACGGGUAGCCGGCCUGAGAGGGUGACCGGCCACAUUGGGACUGAGAUACGGCCCAGACUCCUACGGGAGGCAGCAGUGGGGAAUAUUGCACAAUGGGCGGAAGCAUGAUGCAGAAACGCCGCGUGCGGGAUGACGGCCUUCGGGUUGUAAACCGCUUUCGCCUGUGACGAAGAGUGAGUGACGGUAAUGGGUAAAGAAGCACCGGCUAACUACGUG